AAGGUAGAAUUAGAGUUUCAGGUAUCCACAUGGAUAAAUUUCAAAAACACGUUAAGCAGUGUAAGCAAGUUGCAGAAUGACGUGUAUGCUAAAACAUCAUUCCCCUAAGCUUGAAAAACUACCUACAAUAUGUUCUUUAUGGGUACACAUACAUAUGGUAAUAGUAUUGCAAUGGUCUGAAUGUUUCUGUCCCCCCCAAAAUUGAUGUUGAAAUCCUAAUACCCUAUGUGAUAAUAGUAGGAGAUGGGGCCUUUAGGAGGUGAUUAGGUCAUAAGGGCAGAACUUUCAUGAAUGAGAUUAGUGCCCUUUCAAAAUAGGCCUGAGAGAGUCCUUUGUCCCUUCCACUAGGUGAGGAUGCAACGAGGAGUCUGUGAUCCAGCAGAGGGCCCUCACUUGACCAUGCUGGCGCUCUGAUCUCAGACUUCCAGCCUCCAGAACUGUGAGUAAUAAAUUUCUGUUGUUUAUAAGCCAGCCAGUCAGUGGUAUUUUUAUUAUAGCAGCCCAAAUGGACUAAGACAAGUAUUAAACAUAGAUGGCAUUGAAAAACAUCAAAUUCAGGAUGAUGAUUAUCCUCUAGGUAGGUAAGGAGCCGGGGAGAAUUGAGGACAAGUGCACACAGGGGACUUCAACUAAAUCUGCAAAUUUCUACAUUUUUUAAACUGAGUGAAAUUUAAUAGGAUGUGAAAAGAGAUUUUCGUAUUAUCUUUGAAAUUCAGCUAAGGCUCUGAACCCAAAGAAACUUAUUAGACACAUUUCUGUGAAAUUUUAUAAAAAAUGACCAAGCUGAUCCUUCAAAUAUCAAUCCCCAUCAGCCAUCCCCAGACCUUUUAAGAGAAGGCUGUACAUUCAUUGUUGUAGUGCUUUGAAGAGGACUUUUUGGCUUUUUCCUCUCUCCCAUGGUCGGAUGCUUCACACCAAUUGGCAAGACAAUUGAGGGACCCCAAGCAAAUCAGUCAUAGGGCCUGGGAGUGCCUAGAAGAGAGAGAACUGGCAUCUCCCUUCCUGCCUGGAUAUUUACAGAGCCCUGACAUUGCAGACGCUGGUGCUGCUUUGAGACCAGAGAAGAGAGCAACAAGAGUUCUAAGGAAAGCAAUGAGCAUCCACAGGCAUCUGUUGGCAUCUGUACCUGGGAUCUUGUGCCCCUCUAGAGAAUUCUAAAGGCAGGAGACUGGCUGGAGCAGUACAGAGUUACAGGGUGGGAAGAGGGGGCUAAUCAAAUGGGUAAGCUUUUGGCAAGAAAAGGACACAUGAUGUUUUCCCAUUGACCAAAAUGACCUGUAGGGAGUAGCUAGGCAUGAGCCAUCUUGAAGAGACCUUGCCACCCAAGAACAACUGUUCCUGAGGCCAAGGGUCCUCGGCAGGAAGACGCUGUGUAGGGUGAAGUCCCAAAGAUGUGGGCCAAAGGCUGAGAGUGGAUUUCAAAAAGCCAGCUGGAGAAUGACUUGAACAGCAUGAAGCCCUGUUCACGAGUUCUCCAAAUAACCUACAUCUCCACCUGAAGAGCCUGUGCUUGGAUGCUUAGAUUAACGGAGGGAAUGAGGUCCGGCCAGCAUUAGCCAAGAGAGGACUAUAUACCUAAGUACAAAGAUUUUUUGCUCCUCUUUAAGCCAUUUGCUGGACCCUUUGCUAGAACACCUAAAAAGCAGGAAAGAGGCGAGAAAGAGUCAGAAAAAUUAUUGAAAGAACAACCAUGAUCUCCUUCCUUACAGAGGCAGCAGUAAGAAGAGUUAAGGAAAUAAGGUUUGAGCUGCAUAUGGGAUUGGACUAAGCUUUUUCAUAUCUGAAAAUGGGAGUCUUCUUACAGCUAAAUGCGAGUGAAAAGCUAUGGGAUCUACCAGAGAUGUCAGUCACAGACGGAGGAAGGGAGCUUUAGCAGAGUGUGGUUGAAAGCCACUGUGGGAGAAAAGUUGUUUCCCAUUUGUCUCUCUCAGAAUUUAGCCCUGGGCUAAACUGAUUCCCUGAGGCAGUUACACAAAUGGGGUAAAAUGUUACUAUUUGGUAAAGCUUGAUGGGAGUAUAGUAGACAGCCUUCAAGAUGGCCCCAAUGAUCGCUGCCUGCUGUUAUUCACACCCUUGUGUAGUCCCCUGCCACAUGGUACCAGGCCCAGUCACACCAGUUUGUGUGUCCAAUAACAUACGGUAGAAGUGAAACGUUACAUCUGAGAUUAGGUUCUAAAAAAAGACUAUGACUUCCCUCUCUCCCUCCCUUCCUCUCUCCCAUCCUCUUUCUCUCUUUCUCUCCCUCACACUCCCUCUCCUCUCUUGCUCUGGGGAAGCAAGUCCUGUGAAGAGGCCCACAUGUCAAGGAACUGAGCCUCUGGCCGAAAGCCAGCAAGAAACCGAAACCUGCCAGCAACAAGAGUGAGCUUGGAAGCCAACUGUGCAGCCCCAGCUGGGCUUUGAGAUGACUGCAACCCCAGCCCACAGCUUGCCUGAAACCUCUCGAGAGGCCCUGAGCCAGAACCACCCAGCUGAGCCACUCCCUGAUUCCUGACCUCAGAAACUGUGUGAGGUCAUAGAUGUUUGCUGUUUAAGCUGCUGCAUUUUGAAGGAAUCUGUUACACAGCAAUAGAAAACUAAUACAUGACUUCGGAAUCGAUGCACUAAUACGGCAGCAUCACAAGAUGGAGAGGACUGGGGACUCAGAGUGGAAGACAGUCUCUGCUGACAUCACCACUUUGUAAAUAUCAACAAUGUGCAUGCCAAGACAGCAGCCAAAGGAAGAGGAAGCCCAGUACUGGCUAUAGAAGCAAGCUAGAGAAAGUAGAGCCAAAACAAUCAGGCUGCAAGAAGGAAAGACGACAGAAACAAUGAAGCUGGCCCUCUACAGAGCAAUUGAACAGAGUCAUUUUUGGAACUGUCGGUGGGAGGCUGGAGCGAUAGAAUGCAAAUAGCUGCUUCUCCUUACUUCUAUGAGCCUCUGUUUCCUCGUCGAAAAACAAGGGAAAGUCUGAUUGGGCAGUUCUCCUUAGAGGCUGUCCUCAAGACAGUGACUCAGGAUCUGGGCUGCUUCUGUAUUACGGCUCUGCCAUCUCCUAGUGCCUCCAUGGACUCCUCUGCUUGGUCAUCACUCAGCCAUCAAGUAAAGAGAGAGAGAGCAAGGAGGAUCACCCAGGAUGUUUCAUAGACAAGUCUGGAAGUGGUGUACAUUACUUCCCUCCACAUGCCAUUGCCCAGAACAUGGUCAACUAACACCAGCCUAACAGCAAGCAGGACUGGGACACGAGUCUUAUCCAGAAAGAGGAAGUGGAAUUGACUCACUUUUGUGCACCAUCUUCAUGCAAAUGGUGGAGCCCUCCUCAGCUGGAACUGCCCUCAAUAAGUCAUCAUGUGGACUUUGACCUCUGACCACAUUUGGAAAGUGACCAAAUCAAGACAGAAAAAUCUAACUUGCCAAAGACCACAUAGGAAGUUCUUGGCAAACUCAGAUGAGAAAACAGAGUUCAUGAACUUCAAGAGCCAACAUUUUUAACCACUGCCUCUGUUCCUUGUUUUGGGAACCCUUUUCCAAUAAAAAAAAAAAAGUAGAAAAUUCUAGAAUUUUCUUGCUUUUUUUCCAUGACCAAUUUAAUGGAGUGGUGGAAAGAGCUCUGCACUAGGAGUUAGAGACUUAGACUCUUUAAAAAAAACAAAAACAACUUUGUACAGUGCAACAUUUCAAUGAAUCCUUUGUCCCAUCGCUCAGCUUCAAGAAUCUUAAACUCAUAGCCUAUCUUAUUUCAACUAUAUCCCACUGAAUUCCUUCCUCUCAUGUAAUUUUGAAGCAAAUCCCAGACAUCAUACCAUUUCAUCCAUAAAUAUUUCAGUAUGUAUCUCUAAAAGAUGUCUUUUUUUAAAAAACAUAACCACAAUACCACUAUCAUACCUAAAGCAUUUGAUAAUAAUUAUUUAAUACAAUAAAAUAUACAAUCUAUAUUCAACAUUCCCACUAUCUCAUAAAUAUAAUAAUUUUAACAGUUUGUUUGAAUCAAGAUCCAAAUAAAGUCCACUCAUUGUGAUUCACUAUAUGUCUGUAGGUCUUUUAAAAAUUUCUAGGCUUUCUCUCCAUAUCUUUUUUUGAUUUGUAACUUAUUUAUUGAAGAAACCAGGUCAUUUGUCCUGGAGGCACAUAUUAAAUUUUGUUGAUGGCAACCCUGUGGUAUUAUUUAACAUGUUCCUCAAUUCUCUGGUUUUAAAUUGGUAGUUGAAU